rnacentral:rRNA from 1 species
UGGCCAUUUCGGGGGGUUCUAUACAUGCAAGUGGAACGCACGAGGUACACCGUAGUUUACUACACCGUACUUUGUGAGUCGCGAACGGGUGAGUAACGCGUAGGUAACCUACCUUUUAGCGGGGGAUAACUAUUGGAAACGAUAGCUAAUACCGCAUAAGAUAUCUUACUGCAUGGUAAGAUAUUAAAAGAUGCAAUUGCAUCACUAAGAGAUGGACCUGCGUUGUAUUAGCUAGUAGGUGAGGUAACGGCUCACCUAGGCAACAAUACAUAGCCGACCUGAGAGGGUGAUCGGCCACACUGGGACUGAGACACGGCCCAGACUCCUACGGGAGGCAGCAGUAGGGAAUCUUCGGCAAUGGGGGGAACCCUGACCGAGCAACGCCGCGUGAGUGAAGAAGGUUUUCGGAUCGUAAAGCUCUGUUGUAAGAGAAGAACGAGUGUGAGAGUGGAAAGUUCACACUGUGACGGUAACUUACCAGAAAGGGACGGCUAACUACGUGCCAGCAGCCGCGGUAAUACGUAGGUCCCGAGCGUUGUCCGGAUUUAUUGGGCGUAAAGCGAGCGCAGGCGGUUAGAUAAGUCUGAAGUUAAAGGCUGUGGCUUAACCAUAGUACGCUUUGGAAACUGUUUAACUUGAGUGCAGAAGGGGAGAGUGGAAUUCCAUGUGUAGCGGUGAAAUGCGUAGAUAUAUGGAGGAACACCGGUGGCGAAAGCGGCUCUCUGGUCUGUAACUGACGCUGAGGCUCGAAAGCGU